AUUGAUUGAAAUUGAAUACAAACGUCUCCUUCACAAUGGAAAAUAUUGGUUUUCAAAGAAAAUCCAAAGGUUGAUUGUUUAAUUGAAUAAAUUAAUGUGCAGUGUAUUGAAAUCGUAAUGUCUGUACAGUGAAAUGUUCCUGUAACAACUACGUUUUUGUAAAUUUACGUAAUUUAACAGUCGCAGUUUUUUCUAUUUAUUUAUUUAAAUUAUUUAGUUGUGAAAAUGAAGUGGCAAUUGCAAUGGAAAAUUCGCGUCCCUUGGGGAACGCUAGCAUUGACAAGUCGCGGCCAUCCGGAUGGUGAGCCAGUAUUCUGCGUUCACGGCAGACAGGACAGUUCAUCCGUGUUCGGGCCGCUCGUAGAUCUGAUGCCUAACAUGAAUCACUAUGUGUGUCUGGAUAUGCCCGGAAAUGGGCUGUCCGAUGGAUUUCCUCCGGGUCCAAAGCUGAUGCGGUUCCAUUUCCUGAUGGCCAUGGAGCUAGCGAUAGCUCACCUCGGGUGGGACCACUUCAUCUUCAUCGGCCACUCCAUGGGCUGUGAGCAAGGGCUAUUCUUCAACGCCAUCCAUCCCAACAGGAUCACGAAGAUGGUCCUCCUGGACGCGAACCCCACUCUGAUGCGGAUGCAGGUGGAGGACCCCGCGGAGUACCAGCGCGCCUUCUUCGACAACUACUACGAGCACUUCCAUAGAGAGAACUUUGAGAGGAAGACUCACACCAGGAUAUCAGCAAUGCGGUCAUUAGCGCGGGCUCGGGAUCUGAACGACAGUCAAUGUGCUGAUCUACUUCAGAGGAACUUUCACACUAAGAGUGAAGCCGCCCAAUGGCAUCCAAUAGAGAAAUGGCACCCGAACGAAGCGAUAGCACCUCGCGUGAUGCUCAUUCUGAACGACAAGGACAGAAUAACCGAUAUUAUCAAGGCGUUUACCAAGGAGGAGCAGAGAAUUGCCAAGUUGACGGGCGUGAAGCCCAACCAGGCGGAUAGAGGGAAGCGGCUCACUGAGUAUAUCGUGAGGAACCAGUUGGGUGUGGUCGACAACAGCCCGCCGAAAAGUCAAAUCAAUGAGGAAGCUUUCAGGGAAAUCAUGGAAAACGAAGAUCUUGGUUGUGAACCCGACGAUAUGUACCAUGGGAGGCCAGUAAAGGGCUGGUUGUGGUUCCGUGAUCGAUAGACAAAGAUCUGCUGACCUUCUCUUGAAACGUCUGGCCGAACUAGAUCUUUGGGAUAAGAAUCAAAAUUUAAAGAAAGCAUUUAAAUGAAAAAAACUUUAAUGACAUUUUUUGACCUUUUGAAACUACGACGCAGGUUUUACGAAUUUAUUAUUAAAUCUAUGUAUAUUUUUGUAAUUUUUGGUUAAAAAAAAACGCAACAAAAUAUUUGGCUAUGGUAUUCUGCGCACAAAGGCUGUACAGACCUACUUGGAUAUUAAUUUUAAAGUAAUAAGUAAUUGGACAGCUUAUUACAACAUCAUAUUCAGGCUUGAAAAUGUUACUCCUAUUUACGAAAUUCAUUGUUUUCAAAAUUACUUUUUUAGUUAUUGUAUACGCGUAAACUUUGAGUACUUAAGUACCUAACUAUUUCUCCUAAGUAUGUGUAAAUGUGUAUACAUAUUUUCGUAGAUAUUUUCAAAAUGUUAACCGAAAACUUAUAUUUUAAAACAAGAACCCUAUGACUGACUGGAGGCAAACGUUACGAAGCCAUUGACGAAUUAAAAAAAAAACCGGCCAAGUGCGAGUCAGACUCGCGCAGGAAUGUUUCCGUACCAUUAUUUAGUAAAUGAGCAAAAAAUCACGUUUGUAUUUAAUAUUUUUAUUUUAUUCCAAAAUGUUUAUUUUAUUGUUCGCGGCAACAGAAAUACGUCAUCUGUGAAAAUUUCAACUCUCUAACUAUCAUGGUUCAUGAGAUACAGCCUGGUGACCGACGGACGGACGGAGGAGCGAAAACAAUAGAGUCCCAUUGUACCCUUUGAGUACGGAACCCUAAAAAUAUUAACAUUUGUAGCCGUUUGCCGGAAAAGUGUGACGUUUCCCUCCAGUUAUACUUAAAAGCUUCUUGGUCAAGUAUUAUAAAUGUUUAGGAUAAUAUUAAUUUUAAUUAAAAUAAAAUUCAAACUAGUAAAAACUGCGUAAAGUAAAGGCAGCUCUACACUGUCCUAAAGUUGUAAAGUUGCCUAUUGUAAAAUGACUGAUUUUGGCUGUAAAAUUAAGAAAAAUAAACUGUGCCUCUAUUGAAAACUGGUAUAAGUACCUAAGUAAUUCGGAGAGUAUUAAAAGGCUUAGAAAAGGAUAAGACUGGAUUUAGUCUCAUACCCUUUUUCUAGAGGUACAGAAAUGGGCUUAAAAAGUCAGUAACGUAACUUUUAAUUCGCAUUGUUAUUUUAUGAUUAAUUUAUUGCGCAAAAAAAUCACGCACAAUUUUUAUCAAAAUUGUAUUUCGAAAAGAAUCCAUUCUUAACGCACAAUUUUUAUCAAAAUUGUAUUUUGAAAAGAAUCAAUAGUCCAGGUAAUUGGCCAGCGUUUCUCAAACUGUUACGAAGAUGAACCCUGAAUUGGAAUGAAAACAACACAAGUCCACUGCGAGAUUUAGAGAACAAGGGGAUUAUAUAAACCAAGAAGAUAUACUUAUUAAUAUCUUUGUUUUAGUAAUUCUGUAGGAAAAUACUCAAUAGUGAAAACUAACUUAUUGCAUGGCAUAUCACACUAUGGUCAAUCUGUGAAUCUCAGUCUAUUCAUCUUUUAGAACCAUUGAAUUCUAUGUCAUAAAUAGUGUGUUUAUUAUGAUGUUCGUUCGUUAUUAAUCAAUUAGGUAUAGGUUUAAUAGAUAAAUGUUGCGAUGUCCGUUAUAAAUAAAGCUACCCUUCGGAGAGAGGCGACUCGCGCUCGGCUCACCUUCAUUUAGUGGUCUAUUUGUCACAAAAUAUAAUAUAUAUUGUUGGUUGACAUCUGUUGUCUGUCGCACGGCUGCUGAGUAACUCGGGAACGGUUUCUUACGGUUUGUCCUAUGUGAGCCACAUGGCUAAGAAAUAAAACACAAUCAGUUGAAUUUAUUUUGAAGUAUCCUACGUUACAGAGCGGCUAUUCUGUAUUUUACAAAAAUGUAUAUUGUUAAGUCUUAUUGGCUUUUAUUCUAAUUAAAUCGGUGUCUGAAUUUCCUUUGCAUCGCUUUCGCGUUGAUUCGCUCACGCAGGACGCACCCUUACAUUCUCAUACUAUUUCCCCGGAGGGUAGCUUUAAGCUCUCAGCGAUAUCUACUAGAUAAUUACUUUAAAAGCAUUCCUACUUAAAAUCUACUUUAAAAAAGUAUUACUUUCUAUAAACACUUGAAUAUUUCUAAAAUAUUUCGGUUCACUAUGCCGCCUAAGGAAAACGGCUGAUCUCGACUUUAAACUUGAUCUUUAAUGUUUCUAUUUAUAUUUUAACUAGAAAUAAGUCUACUAUUUGGUGUUAGGUUUUAAGCUUAUUUAUAGUUACAAAACUUUUUAGGCAAUCUUGCCAUCUCUGAUAUUGCACGUCAAUAGAUGGCGUUGUUUCCGAAUUUUUGAACAUUUGGCAGUAUCUAAAGUAUAUGUUGGGCACUAAUGACUUCAUUUCUUAGGACACGAUAAACUAGGUCCCGGCUGUCAUUGAACAUCUUUGGCAGUCAUUACGGUUAGUCAGAAGCCAGUAAUUCUGGGAACCAGUCUUACCAAGGGAUGUAGGUCGAAUAGACAGUCACUCCAUUUAAAACACUGGUACUCAACUGCAUCCGGUUAGACUGGAAGCCGACCCCAACAUAGUUGAGAUGACGUUGUUGUCUAUUCCCAAAAGAGUUCUGCCUAAAAAAAGUUUUGUUAUUGUUAAUAGUACCUUUACAAGUAUUAUUAAAUGUGUAAAUGUCAAUAUACUGUUAAACAUAUAUCUUAGUUAGUGGUAUUUAAUUAUCUCUGUUCUCGAAAUAGUAUUAAUUUGCAAUAUUGUUCAAAUGUUAUUUUCUUAAACACGCGUUUGAAAAAGCUUAGGAUGCCUUUAUUGUUUUUAUAUGUAGAUGAUUUGCUGAUAUUUUCAAUAAUGAUGGUAACUACACCUAUUGUGAAUUAAGCAUUGUAUUUUAACGUUUAAUAGUGAAAUAUAUGUUGGUAGUCAAUAU